rnacentral:rRNA from 1 species
CGCCUCUUGUCUCCCAAACAUAAGAGGUCCCGCCUGCCCUGUGACUAUACGUUUAACGGCCGCGGUAUUUUAACCGUGCGAAGGUAGCGCAAUCACUUGUCUUUUAAAUGAAGACCUGUAUGAAUGGCAUCACGAGGGCUUAGCUGUCUCCUCUUUCAAGUCAAUGAAAUUGAUCUGCCCGUGCAGAAGCGGACAUAAGAACAUAAGACGAGAAGACCCUAUGGAGCUUUAGACACCCGGCAGACCCUGUUAAGUAGCUGAACUAUCAGAUUAAAACAAAGCGGCCCCUGGCCUACAUGUCUUCGGUUGGGGCGACCACGGGGGAAAACAAAGCCCCCACGAGGAUUAAGGAAAACCUCCUUAUAACCACGAGCGACAGCUCUAAGUCUCAGAACUUCUGACCAAAAAGAUCCGACACCAGUCGAUCAACGGACCAAGUUACCCUAGGGAUAACAGCGCAAUCCCCUCCCAGAGUCCCUAUCGACGAGGGGGUUUACGACCUCGAUGUUGGAUCAGGACAUCCUAAUGGUGCAGCCGCUAUUAAGGGUUCGUUUGUUCAACGAUUAAAGUCCU